CCCCCCACCUCCGCCGCCAGGUCUGGGCGUCUUUCCUGAGCCCAGGGCUGGAACCCUUUCUCCCACAGGCUCCGGCUCCCCUGCAGCUGGCGGUGCAGGUGUCCUGCUCCCCAGGCCUCGCUGUGCCCCUGGCACGUGGAGCCCAGCAGGGAUGAGCCGGGUGCCCUCUGGCUGCCUGGCAUGCCGCCUGCUGGGUCCUGAUUUCUUGGCCCUUUGGACGCAGGGCCGGGGAGUGAGGCUGGGGCUCUGGCGGCUCUGGGGCCGGGGCUGGGGGUGGCACCGCAGGGACACAUGGUUUCCCUGCUGCCCGGUCAUCCAUACGUUCCUGCUGCUCCGGGUCCUGCGGUCCCAGAAUUGCCGCCGGCUUCACCCUGUGUCCACAUAUGUUGGCACAUGGACCCAGCUCCAGGCUUGACCCCUGCUUCCUGUGACCUUGAGUUGUGUGUCGUGUUAUUUCUCAGCGCUCACUUUCCCAUCUGCGCAAUGGGGUGGUAAUACCUCUCCCGUGGGGUUGCUGUGAGGCUUGAGGUCAGUCUCCCAGCGACAGGCAGUUCAUGCCUCGUCCCUGGAUUUAUUAUCAAGGAAAUGCAAGGCCAGAGAACCAGUGUGAACAAAGGCAAAAUGAUGUCCAAGCCUAUGUGAGCCAGUGUCGGGGACCCCGCAGCCUGCCAGGGCGUGAGAUGAGCAACCAUCACAGAACUGUCCCUCUGGGCCCACUCUGGUCAGUGGCACUGCUGUCCUGAUUUUCCCAGACCCAGCUCUGACCUGGUGGGGUCUGUUCCCACCCCGCCCCUUCCCCUCCUCAUCUGACAACCGUCCUGGUGAUGACGCCCCAGGCAGUGACUGUAGCCUACUGGCUUGCUCAGGGCUCUGGCCCCAUUAUGUCUCCCAGCUCCCUGCAUUGGGCUGUUCCCCUCGGGGCGCGCCCAGCAGUGGCCUCCUUCCCGGGCAGUCCCGCCCUGUGUCUCAGCUUCAGCCCUGCUCCUGGCCCACAAGGCCUGGAGCUGGACGGGCUGGUCCACCCACGCAGGGCCCCCUCAGGGCGGCUGACUUGGGUUUCAGUGCUGGCCCCCGCUGGACGCGUCACUGUGUUGCCAAGGUUCAGUUGCCUGGUCUGGAAACUGGGGCGAAGAACAGCCUUGUGCCGCAGACCCUGCACGUAGACGGUGCGUGCAAAGCAGUGUGCGGGGCGGCAGGCCAGAGCCGGCCCUGGCGGGUGGGGCCUGCCGCAGUUGGUAGGGAUCGUGUUGAUGCGCGGAGUGCCCCUGCCGCCGUGUCCCGGCGCGGCCCUCUCAGGCUGCCCGCCACCCGCUUUAGGUGCCUGAGAUGCACUGCCCUGCUUGCUUCCUCAAGCUCCAGGCCGAUCGUCCUGCCUCCUCCUGUUGGAGGGAGUGAGGGAGUGAGGGUCUCUGCGCCCGCCCCCCUGCUGUCCUCCCUCCAGAGCCGACCGGGCCCUCCCAGCACAUCCUCCGUUUCCCGUGGGCCAUGCUCCUUGUCCAGGCCCUGCCACGGGCUCCUCCUGAGACCCUGACGUAGGCACUGGCUUCCUGAACAUGGAAGACCCCGGUCUCCCUGCCAGCCCUCUGUCGGCCCCGCCUUGGCUGUCCAUCUCCUCGUCACCCCUCACAGCCCAGCCUUGUCCCCCCACUGUGCUAACUUGCUUUCCCAGCCGCCGUAGGGACCGGGCAGCUCAUUCUCACUGGUCAUUGCCCCAGACGGUGUGACACCUCCUGUCCCUCUGUUACUUCUCCCCUGGCCUUUCCGGCGCUCCGGUUCUUCUAAUUCCGUCUUCAGCCACGACCUUGGUUCUGGAAGAGCAGGAUGGCGUGGGAGUCGGAGAUCCAGGCAUGUGCAGAAACGGCACUGCUUCUGUCCCCGUGCCUGAUCUCGCAGCUGCGGGGUAAACGCGGUUCGGUGGAAGGCCUGUUACUUCCCCAGCUCCCCCGGCGUGGGGAGGAGGCUCCUGCCUCCGAGCGCGAGAGGCGACCACAGUCCCAGGCCCGUUUCCCUCCCAGGCUCUCGGAGGCUGGGGUGGCUGUGCGCUCACCGCUGGGGGGCAGCCGGUGCGGCCAUGGGAGCCCAGGGGGAGGAGAAGCCCGCGUGGUUUGCUCAGCGUCUGCUCACGCUGUCCCUGAACCUCCUGUCCUGCUGCCUCUGCAGCCACACCGGCCGCCAUCAGUCACGCAGACGGGCAGGCCUGUCGGGCAUGCAGGGCCCUGGACGCUGUUCUAGAACCUUCACUCUUCUGAUGCCAACACACUGGCUGGGGUCAGUGAGAGCUGUCUUGUCUUCGAUGCAGCCCCUGUCGCCCAUCCGCCCUGCCGCCUCGCGUCCCCCUCCCACAGCUGUGCGCUGCCGGGUGUGUGCUGCCUGGCUUGCGGGGGCUGAGGGCUGUCCCCUCCGGGCGACAAGAGGAGUGUUGGGUGCCAUGGGGACAGCCUGCACCCUGCUCUCAGACCCGAGGCUGGCCCCUCGGCGAAUCGGCUCUGCGGCAUGUUGGGGCCGCCCCUGUGUGGUUCGGACCAGCUCCUGGCCGGGCUCCUGGCAGAGUCCUCUAGAUUCGGGUCAGACAGCGGGCUGAAGCUCCCCUUCCUGGGGUUUGGUUUUGCUUACUUUUCACCGUUCCUCGCUCACGCCCAUGUUUGUGCAAGCGUCACCUAUCCGAGUCGGGUGCUGUCAUUGACUCGAUGCAGCGGGUGCUCACUGGGUGUCGCGGGAGGACGCGGGCCUGUGGCAGGGUCCAGACAUGCCCGGUGGCCUGCCGCCAGGGAGGGGCCGUGUCCCCGGAAGGCUCCGGUGCCCUGGAGAGCGCGAGGAGGCAGAGGGACAGACAGACGCGUGCUGUGAGGACGCAAGGAGGCAGAGAACGAACACAUCUGCCCGCGGUCUCUGAGACAGCCUCUCCGCAGGUAACACUGCUCCGGAGCCCGGAAGGACAGGAGGGACCCUCGUCCCUAGGGCGCUCAUCACGGACGCCUGGCUUUCUUCUCUGAGGCAGGCAGCACGGAGCGAAUGGGGUGCGUCCCCGCAUGUGUCUCAGGACAGUUGCUCGUGGCAGCUUUUUGGGGUCAGAAGGGAUGAGAACGCCCCUCGGGACGACUUACAGCAGAGGCCUGACGGCCUCCCGGUCAGAAAGGCCCUCCCGGCUGGCAGUGGCGGAGAUGUUCGCUGUGGGCAGCAGAGGGCAGUGACGACCAGGAUGCGAGCCCUCCGGGCCUCUGCACACGGGAGGCUGGGCUCUGCCAGCAGCAGGCAGCCCCGCUGUGGGAAGGGCCCUGCGUGCUCGGCAUUCGUGUUCAGGGCAAGAACUUGAGCUGAGCUGCCAUCAGUCAGGAGCGUCCAGAAGAAAUUCCUGGAGAAGGGAGUGUGUGAUGGUGAGCAUUUGUGCGAAGCUACGGAGAGGAAGGCCUCUGUCACCCAUGAUGUUGGCACGGGGAAAUGGCCAGAAGAGCAGAAAGCACAGACUUGGAUCUUGCCCACUGCUCGCACGACCGUUGUCUGUGCCGUGUCCAUGCUCGGGGCCGACUGUGUCUUGUGGUGAUGCGGCCUGGGCUGCCCUGAGAGGGAGUUGUCUGGCGUUUCUCUCCGAUGGUCCCCGUCCCGCCUCCUCUUCGGCGGGGAUCUGAAGCUGUCCCUCCGCGUGUCCGGACGUGCUGUUCCAAAGCCACCAUCGGUCUUCAUGACCACAGCUGCUUUUGUGCUGGUGUGUGCGCUUCCUUAGGCCUCCACCAGGCCCGGUCCCGCCGGCAUCCCUCCUCGGAGCCGUCCGUCCCCACGCACUCAGGGAGAGCCCGCCCUGUCCAGCCCCUAGACUGUGGGAGGCAGGAGCCUGGGAGUGGGCAGAGAGAGCGAGAUGACCCUCAUCUCUGCAGACUUAGGGCCAGGGAGGGGCCGACGGUCCCGGUCACCAAGCCCUAGCCUGGCACUUGCCCAGCGUCCCGCCCUGCCGUGCACCUGCAGCAGACAACCUGGCAGAGAACAGGGCCCCACAGCUUCUGUCUGGGAGUCUCUCUGGCCCAUCUCCUCCUUCCCUGCCUCUUCCCCAGAGCCUUGCUGAGACCUCUGCCCUGUCUCGGGAUCCUCCACCCUCUUCCCUGACCUGCUCCCCCUGCCUUCCGUCCGGCCCCCUCUGAGCAGCGCACGUGGCCCCAGGAGCCAUCUCGGUCACACACACUCCCGCUGCUGCUCCAUGAAAUAGACUCCAAACCCUGGACGGGCAUUCGGAGUCCUCCCGAUGGGCGUGCAGACAGCUGUCAGUCAGCCGUGCGUAUUAUUAGCCUCACUCUGGUCCGCUGAGCUUGGGGAGCCCCAGAUGCCUCCUUGCCGAUCCCGGUUCUCUCAGAGGUGCGAUCAGUGCCGCUUCUGAACGCCCGCCUCCUGGCCAGUCACGCACUUACUCAGGCUGAGUGAGACCCUCUGUCACGGGAGCGUCAGACAUCACUGACGGCAUCUGCCAGCCUCCUGACGUCCCUAGUGCAGGGAGGCCACGCAGACAGCAAGCCCGGGCCUGACACAUCUGGUAUCAGAUCACCAGUGGACGGGGGGCGGGCAGCGUUUUGCUGCGUCCGGCCCGGUCCCACACACGUGCUGUCAGUCAGAGUUCUGAGCAGCCACAUUUCUCCCGCUCUGGAAUUUGCAAGCACACCAAGGUUUAUUUUUAAUCCGUGGCUGUGAAAUGUCCAAGGAACCUCCUCAGGCCUCUUCCCAGGACGGGUGGCCCGCGAGUCAGCACAACCUCCAUGGUGUGCGGCUGUGGGCGCGGUGACCGAAGUCUGCAGAAUGGGGUGGCCAUGUCCGGACCACAGGGGGAGUGCGGUCAGGCCCCUGGGGACCUGCCGGCCACGCCAGAGACCCUGUUUCUGACAUCCCCUUGGAAGGAGCUUCCUCGGGCCCAGAAGAGGACAGAAUGGACAGGAAGCUCCCACCCGGAUGCCUCUGGCCCUUACUGACACCCUCGCGCACCGUGGGAGUGCAGGCCCUUCCUCCCUGUAGCGCAGACCACACCAGGGCACCCGGUACACAGCCCACGGGUGGUCUUGCCCACUCCCCGAUGGUCUGUGCUCCGGCUGGACACGGGCUGGGCCACAGGCAGGAGUGGCCGGAAUUCCCUGGACAAGCACUGGUGGGCUGACGCUUGGGCUCUGGGAAAGUUGUGGAAGGAAGAGAAGGGCAUUCACUGCUCUGACCCCACAAAAAAACCAAAGCACAGCUUGGCCGUCCCGCCCGCUGGCCCACGAUGGUCCUUUUUAUGUCGUGGGACCGAGUGCGGGUCUCUAGCACAGACACUGCCUGAACCCUGCGUGCACCAUCCCGGGCUCAUCUUCGGGAUUCUGAUCCUUGCCUCUUGCAUCUGUGAAAUGGGAAGGCUGCAGAGGUAGGACGGUGCAGGCAGGGUGCCGCCCCGAGGUCUGCACUCUUGUCUCGGGGUCCCGUGAGCGAGCGAUGGUGGGACCCUUGGGGUGUAAACAAAAUAGCAAAGUAAGAAUAGGAAAAUGUGGAAAAUUAUGAUUUUUCUACAGAUCAUAUAUUCUUUUUACAUUUUUUGAAUUAGCAAUUUAAAAAAUUCUUUUUAGUGCCCGUGUCCUGGUGUUGCAGGUGCUCGUGCUGACUGCCUGGGGGGCAGUCCCGUGUUUUCUGGCUCACCUUUCCUCUGGGCUCUCGCACCCAGGUCAGGAGACAGGUUGUGUGUUCUGCACCCUGGCUCUGAAUGCAACACACUGCCCUUCUUGCCGACUGUCUGUCCUCCCUGGACGCUGUCCGUGCCAUGAGGGCUCUGACCACGUGGGUCUGGAUGCCUCAUCCUCUCCCCAGGCUCUAACACUGAGCCUGAUAUAGACAAGUCAGUACGCUUCCCAGGACAGAUGGCCCGUCCGGGCUUAGAUCUAAAUACACCGGUCAGCGGUCCCCCAGAAGGGUUCUCUUCGAAGAGGUCUUCCCUGGGGGGGACACAUACGCCAGGGGCCAACAUGAAGGGAACAGGGGGUGGGGGGGAGUGAAUGGUGUCCAGACUGUCCAUCUCUCUGGCUGCUGGGAAGAAGAGUUCAGGGACAGAAUUCAGCUUAUUUUGUGUUUCUCAGGCGGCAGGAUCGGAAUUCGGAAUGGGAGUGAUAGGAAGGUAGAUUUGGGCUGUUUUGGGUGCAGAUUUUUCAUGAUCGCCUCCGUCUACAGAUGGAGUGGGCUGCCUCGGGAAGCACAAGCUCCCCAGCAGAGGAGGGAAGCAGAGACUGGCCAGUGGCCCGUGCGGUCACUGUCUUGGGUGGGGGGCUGUGGACCAGACAGCCCGCACGUGGGCCUGGACAGCCUAGCUGUGCUCCGUCUGCUCCGCCCGCCAGCCUGGGGGGCGUGUGGAUGUCUGCAAUCCAAUGUUAACCUUUGUGGGCGGGACGGCGUGCGCCCCCUUCUCAGGCUGCCAGCUGUCCGGCCAGUGGAGGGACUGGCUGGGGGCAGUGGGGUAAGAGUUUGGGGACCCCCUCACCCCAAGAUAGCAGGGGCUGCAUCUGCCACUGAGGCCAGGCUCCUGGCCGGCCAUCUCUCCCACGGUCUCCUCACUGGUCCACACAGUGGCUAGCCCAGGGCCUCCUCCCCUCCAGUGCGGUGUCCCUUACGCUGUGAAGUAUCCACCAAGCCCUCUUCAGAACAGCGCCCCUUUUCUGCAGACCCCCAGCAUCUCUGGGCCUCGGUGUGCUCCUUUGUAAAGGGGCUUCAGAAAAUACCCACAUGGGUUUUCAGCUCCCUUUGUGAGCCCAGCGAGGGUUGCUGUGAAUGCAAACCCUUAGCAGGGGCCCGGGGCAAGUGCACAGAGGACACAGGUGUCCUUCCUGCUGGCUUUCUGCAGUUGGCAGCUCCCCCUUGGCCAGACCACACGGCCUCCUCCCGAGCGGGACCCCCCAGGUCCUCCCGCGGCCCCGGGGUCUGCUGAUCCAGGCUUCAGGUAUCCAGAGUCGUGCUCACAGGGGCCCCUCUGCGGGGCCGCUCAUCUGACUGGUCUGCCUCCUGCAGUGAUUUCUGGGCUCACUGGCAGACUUUCCUUCUCUGCACCUUCCCCUGGUACCUCUGGCCCCCAGCAAAGGGGAUGGCAUCUUUGAGGGGUUCCUCCCCUCCAAGGGCUCCUGCUGCUUCCCUGCUCAGAGCACAGGGCAGGCGUGGGGGAAACGACCUGCACCUCCAAGAUGUUCAGAAGGGAGCCAUGGAGAUUGUCCUGGCUUUAAAACGCAGUGAUGACAGAUAAGGAAAAUCCUGCCAGUUAAUGCACACACGGAAGAGAUGUUCUGCCUUCCAAAUUUUGUUCACCACGUAGGCCGUGUGCUGCUCGUGGCCAUAGUCACGGUGUGCAGAACGUUUUGUCCUAAACUUUUCCACGUGCUCUGGUAACUACGGCUCUGCCGUAGUGUCUGCAGGCGGUCCUCGCAGCAGCCGCCGUAGGACAGCAGGGACUGUGCACUCAGUGAAUCCACAGACACGUUCACUCAGUCACUGCCGUCCGCCAGCUCUGCACAGACGGCUCUCGUCUCCGAGUUCCCUGCACACGUCCCAGCAGCGGGACGACUCCUGGAGGCUGUGGAUGUGUCCGCAGGACCUAACAGGGACCGUCAGGAAGGCUGAUUCCACGCACACUUUCCCGGUGGAGUGUGACCUUUAGGCAGCAAGCCACCAUGUAAACGCAGUUUUACCAGCGCGGUGGGUGAAGAACGGCUCUUCAGGUUUGUUCUGAUCGGCACUCAUUUCCAGUAUUCCAAUAGUGAAAAUGCUUCCCUACACCCGCUGAUUACGUGCGUACCCAUAUUAUAUGUUUACACGUGUGCGUGUUUAUGCUUGAACAGUCUGUGUCCUCUCCGUGGACUCCUGGGCUUGCGGGGGGGUGAUUUUGGUUGAUAAUUUGCUGAUCGUUGUUCGCCUCUCAUUCUUGUUGGUAUUUAGACUUGAAAGCGACGCUGUCAUCCCGCCCCCAUUUUACGCUCUGAGCUGUAGGGCUCACUGUCCCUUGGAAGCAACUCGGUUCCAUAUUCUAAAACAUAAAGCGGCCCUUUCCUGUAAGGAGGCUUUUUCUGUCCCAAAAGGACACAGCCCGGGAGCGCGGAGUGCCGAGCGAGGAUCAGGGUGUUGGGUCAGGUCCCAGCUCCGUUAGGUCAUGACCGUUGGUGGGCAGGCCCUUGGGCAGCCUCUCGGAACCUUUCACAUGGGGGUGAAGUAACGCUGCGGGAGUCCAGAGUAGGGCUAGACGAGGUCCCGCAGCCCCCUUCCAGCUUACCGGUCAGCACUCACUGAAGCCUCCUGCGUCGAUCUGAAUUUUGCCUUAACAUUUUUUUUUAACUGCAUAAAAUGCAAUCAUAAACCAGAAUUUAUUUCCUCAGUGUUGGCAGCCUAAACUUAAAGUACAGAGCUCGGAGUCUUGAUUUGGGACAUUAAAAAACAAUCAUAAAAUAAAAUAAAUAAAAACUGAAAACGUUUGGAGGUCCGUCGGGUGUCACCCGCACCCUCUGGGCUCGGGGCAGGUCCUGGUCCGGCCCUGUGGCCGCCGUGUCUGCUCUUGUGACUCUUGACUUCUGGU